UGGGGAAUAUUGGACAAUGGGCGCAAGCCUGAUCCAGCCAUGCCUCGUGGAUGAUGAAGGCCCUAGGGGUGUAAAGUCCUUUCGACGGGGAAGCUAAUGACGGUACCCGUAGAAGAAGCCCCGGCUAACUUCGUGCCAGCAGCCGCGGUAAUACGAAGGGGGCUAGCGUUGCUCGGAAUCACUGGGCGUAAAGCGCACGUAGGCGGCUUGUUAAGUCGGGGGUGAAAUCCUGGAGCUCAACUCCAGAACUGCCCUCGAUACUGAUGAGCUCGAGUCCGGGAGAGGUGAGUGGAACUGCGAGUGUAGAGGUGAAAUUCGUAGAUAUUCGCAAGAACACCAGUGGCGAAGGCGGCUCACUGGCCCGGUACUGACGCUGAGGUGCGAAAGCGUGGGGAGCAAAC
rnacentral:rRNA from 1 species